CCCUGGUUUGCUCAGUCUGUAGAGCGCUCCACUGGAAAUGAUGAGGUCCCUGGUUCGACACAAGGACCAGGCG
rnacentral:tRNA from 1 species